GAUGAAGAACGCAGCGAAAUGCGAUACGUAGUGUGAAUUGCAGAAUUCAGUGAAUCAUCGAAUCUUUGAACGCACAUUGCACCUCUCGGUAUUCCGGGAGGUAUGCCUGUUCGAGCGUCAUUUGUACCCUCAAGCUCUGCUUGGUGUUGGGUGUUUGUUCCGCCUCUGUGUGUGAACUCGCCUCAAAACAAUUGGCAGCCGGCGUACUUGUUUCGGAGCGCAGCACAUUUUGCGAUCCAGAUCAACGUACAGCGGCAUCCAAGAAGCCUUAUUUAACGCUCUUGACCUCGGAUCAGGUAGGGAUACCCGCUGAACUUAAGCAUAUCAAUAAGCGGAGGU
rnacentral:misc_RNA from 1 species